GAUGAACGCUGGCGGCGUGCCUAACACAUGCAAGUCGAGCGAACGGACCAGAAGCUUGCGUCUCUGAUGUUAGCGGCGGAGGGGAGAGUAACACGUGUAUAACCUACCUAUCAGACUGGGAUAACUAUGGGAAACCGGAUCUUAUACCGGAUGAUAUUUUGAACCGCAUUGUUCAAAAGUGAGAUUCGGUCGUUGUGUCACUAAUAGCUGGCUCCGCGCUGCAUUAGCUAGUUGGUAAGGUAAAGGCUUACCAAGGCAACGAUGCAUAGCCGACCUGAGAGCGAGGACGGCCACACGGGAAGAGAGACUGGGUCGAGACACCGGCGGUAAGCCGCAGUAGAGAAUCUUCCGCAAUGGAGGAGAGCGUGACAGAGCAACGCCGGGUGAGUGAUGAUGGUGUUCGGAUCGGUAAGCGCUGUUGUUAGUGGGGAACAUAUGUGUAAGUAACUGUGAAGAUAAUGACGGUACCGGGUCAAAAAGCCACGGCUAACUACGUG
rnacentral:rRNA from 1 species